CAAAUUAACCCUUCUGGGGGCUCUCUGGUGAUUCAUGAUAACUUCUCGAAUCGCAUGGCCUUGCGCCGGCGAUGGUUCAUUCAAAUUUCUUCCCUAUCAACUUUCGAUGUUUGGGUAGUGGCCAAACAUGGUUGCAACGGGUAACGGAGGGUUAGGGCUCGACCCCGGAGAAGGAGCCUGAGAAACGGCUACUACAUCCAAGGAAGGCAGCAGGCGCGCAAAUUACCCAAUCCCGACACGGGGAGGUAGUGACAAUAAAUACUGAUACAGGGCUCUUUUGGGUCUUGUAAUUGGAAUGAGUACAAUUUAAAUCCCUUAACGAGGAACAAUUGGAGGGCAAGUCUGGUGCCAGCAGCCGCGGUAAUUCCAGCUCCAAUAGCGUAUAUUAAAGUUGUUGUGGUUAAAAAGCUUGUAGUUGAACCUUGGGCCUGGCUGGCCGGUCCGCCUCACCGCGUGCACUGGUCCGGCCGGGCCU
rnacentral:rRNA from 1 species